rnacentral:rRNA from 1 species
AAGGGUAAGUAGAGUGGCGCACGGGUGAGUAACACGUGGACAACCUGCCUUCGAGUGGGGAAUAACCUUCCGAAAGGAGGGCUAAUACCGCAUAACACCUCGGGACACAAGUUCUGGGGUUGAAAAGAGCAAUUUGCUCGAAGAGGGGUCCGCGCCUGAUUAGCUAGUUGGUGAGGUAACGGCUCACCAAGGCUUCGAUCAGUAGCCGUCCUGAGAGGGAGCACGGCCACACUGGAACUGAGACACGGUCCAGACUCCUACGGGAGGCAGCAGUGGGGAAUUUUUGGCAAUGGGCGAAAGCCUGACCAAGCAACGCCGCGUGGGUGAUGAAGUAUCUUGGUACGUAAAACCCUUUCGGCAGGGACGAACCUAAUGACGGUACCUGCGGAAGAAGCCCCGGCUAACUCCGUGCCAGCAGCCGCGGUAAUACGGGGGGGGCAAGCGUUGUUCGGAAUUACUGGGCGUAAAGGGCGCGUAGGCGGUUGGAUAAGUCAGCUGUGAAAACCACGGGCUUAACUCGUGGCCUGCAGUUGAGACUGUCUGGCUUGAGUGUGGGAGAGGAGAGUGGAAUUCCUGGUGUAGCGGUGAAAUGCGUAGAUAUCAGGAGGAACACCGGUGGCGAAGGCGGCUCUCUGGACCACAACUGACGCUGAGGCGCGAAAGCUAGGGGAAGCAACAGGAUUAGAUACCCUGGUAGUCCUAGCUGUAAACGAUGGAU